rnacentral:tRNA from 1 species
UCACUCGUAACUUAACGGUUAGAGCAUUGGUACGUAAAGCCAAAGGUCUUCGGUUCGAUUCCCAGCGAGGGUG